rnacentral:rRNA from 1 species
UACGUAGGGUCCGAGCGUUGUCCGGAAUUAUUGGGCGUAAAGGGCUCGUAGGCGGUCCGUCACGUCGGGAGUGAAAACUCAGGGCUCAACCCUGAGCGUGCUUCCGAUACGGGCGGACUAGAGGUAUGCAGGGGAGAACGGAAUUCCUGGUGUAGCGGUGGAAUGCGCAGGAUAUCAGGAGGAACACCGGUGGCGAAGGCGGUCUCUGGGCAUUACCUGACGCUGAGGAGCGAAAGCAUGGGGAGCGAACAGG